rnacentral:rRNA from 1 species
CUGAGACCCAAAAGAUCGAAUGGGGAGAUUCAUCGUCAGCGGCGUUGGGUUUCGCGCGGGUCGCGAUGCUCGGGGUUUCUCCGCCGCGGCACGCGUCCGCUGCGGUAUGACCGGCGCUCGCCGGGGGGCACUUCUCCCUCUAUAAAACGUCGCGACCCGUUGGGUGCCGGCCCACGGCCCGGUUGGGCGACUGAUUCGCUUUCGCGGGUCCGACCACCGGUCGCCCGGCCGGCUGCCCGGCGGGAUUGAACGCUUUAAUCUAUCGGUAUUGGGCCGCAUUCAAUGCGUUCUGGCUCGUCGGCAGGCCCGCCUCGCUCGGUUUUACGGGCCUACUACCGCUGCCGGGCGCUUGGCGUGGUUGUUAGUCGACGAUGUCCUCAAACUGGCUCGUUAUUAUUCAUAAUAUAUACCGGUCUGCGACGCUUUUGCUUUGGGUACUUUCCCGACCCGUCUUGAAACACAGACCAAA